rnacentral:rRNA from 1 species
CUGGGGAACUGAAACAUCUCAGUACCCAGAGGAGAGGAAAGCGAAAGCGACUCCCUGAGUAGCGGCGAGCGAAAGGGGAAGAGCCUAAACCAUCUGGCUUGUCCGGGCGGGGUAGUGGGGCCCUCGGAUACCGAAUCCCCGACUCUAGCCGAAGCUGUUGGGAAGCAGCGCCAGAGAAGGUGAAAGCCCUGUAGGCGAAAGGGGAGGGGAUAGGUGAGGGUACCCGAGUACCCUGUGGUUCGUGGAGCCAUGGGGGAAUCUGGGCGGACCACCGCCUAAGUCUAAGUACUCCGGGUGACC